rfam:Punica granatum cultivar Dabenzi scaffold74, whole genome shotgun sequence.
GAAUGCGAUCAUACCAACACUAAUACACUGGAACCCAUUAGAACUCCGAAGUUAAAGGUGUUUGGGCGAGAGUAGUACUAGGAAGGGUGACCUCCUAGGAAGUUAUCGUGUUGCACCCU